rnacentral:snRNA from 1 species
GACAACUCGAGGGUCGUGG